rnacentral:rRNA from 1 species
GACGAACGCUGGCGGCGUGCCUAAUACAUGCAAGUUGAGCGCUGAAGGUUGGUACUUGUACCAACUGGAUGAGCAGCGAACGGGUGAGUAACGCGUGGGGAAUCUGCCUUUGAGCGGGGGACAACAUUUGGAAACGAAUGCUAAUACCGCAUAAAAACUUUAAACACAAGUUUUAAGUUUGAAAGAUGCAAUUGCAUCACUCAAAGAUGAUCCCGCGUUGUAUUAGCUAGUUGGUGAGGUAAAGGCUCACCAAGGCGAUGAUACAUAGCCGACCUGAGAGGGUGAUCGGCCACAUUGGGACUGAGACACGGCCCAAACUCCUACGGGAGGCAGCAGUAGGGAAUCUUCGGCAAUGGACGAAAGUCUGACCGAGCAACGCCGCGUGAGUGAAGAAGGCUUUCGGAUCGUAAAACUCUGUUGGUAGAGAAGAACGUUGGUGAGAGUGGAAAGCUCAUCAAGUGACGGUAACUACCCAGAAGGGACGGCUAACUACGUG